AUUGAACGCUGGCGGCAGGCCUAACACAUGCAAGUCGAACGAGUGGCGGACGGGUGAGUAGUGUCUGGGAAACUGCCUGAUGGAGGGGGAUAACUACUGGAACCGGUAGCUAAUACCGCAUACCAUCAGAUGGGGCCAGAUGGGUUUAGCUAGUUGGUGGGGUAACGGCUCACCAAGGCGACGCUCCCUAGCUGGUCUGAGAGGCUGACCGGCCACACUGGAACUGAGACACGGUCCAGACUCCUACGGGAGGCAGCAGUGGGGAAUAUUGCACAAUGGGCGCAAGCCUGAUGCAGCCAUGCCGCGUGUAUGAAGAAGGCCUUCGGGUUGUAAAAUACUUUCAGCGGGGAGGCGUUACCUGCAGAAGAAGCAACGGCUAACUCCGUGCCAGCAGCCGCGGUAAUUC
rnacentral:rRNA from 1 species